UACAGAGGGGGCAAGCGUUGUUCGGAAUUACUGGGCGUAAAGGGCGCGUAGGCGGCCUGUUAAGUCGAACGUGAAAUCCCCGGGCUCAACCCGGGAACUGCGUCCGAUACUGGCAGGCUUGAAUCCGGGAGAGGGAUGCGGAAUUCCAGGUGUAGCGGUGAAAUGCGUAGAGAUGCGGAGGAACACCGAUGGCGAAGGCAGCCCCCUGGGCCAACACUGACGCUCAGGCACGAAAGCGUGGGGAGCAAACAGG
rnacentral:rRNA from 1 species